rfam:Beta vulgaris subsp. vulgaris chromosome 3, whole genome shotgun sequence.
GAGCAAGGUCAUUAAAUGUAGAAUGAUUGAACCCUGCAUUGAAGAUUGGUAGUAUGAAACAUAGGCGAUUCUCCACGCCUUUUGAGUACUGUACUCAUGUCGAUUAUGACCUCCAAAAAAUCGCUACAUA